UCACGUGCUCCGGGGUCGGUGCAACUCCGAACCGGCGGUGAAAGUCCGCGACCCGUCUGCAGCCAGCAGCCGGUUGACCUGGUGGAACUCCAGGACCGACGGUGAAAGUCCGGAUGGGAGGUAGCACGUGC
rfam:Auraticoccus monumenti strain MON 2.2 genome assembly, chromosome: I